UACGUAGAAGACUAGUGUUAAUCAUCUUUAUUAGGUUUAAAGGGUACCUAGACGGUAAAUUAAACCCUCAAAGGGUACCUAUUUACUAGAGUUUUAUAUGAGAAGGGGAGAACUUUUGGAGUAAAGAUGGAAUUUUUUGAUACUAAAAGGACUGAUAAAGGCGAAGGCUGUCUUCUAUCUAAAAACUGACGUUGAGGGACGAAGGCUUGGGUAGCAAUAAGG
rnacentral:rRNA from 1 species